CGGGGCAGCAAUUAAUCAUCUAUUAAAAGGAAAAAGUAAACGGACAGUUCCGCGCAGUCUUCUUAAACUACCCGCGACUGUAUUGUGUUUUGUGCUGGAGUCUCCAGAGGCCCCCCACUUUUCGACUAGAUGGCCUUUUUAGUUCCUCGGAGUCUGUGUUCUGGCUCAGGCCUGUAUGUAACGCGCAGCAACAAGAAAAGCAAAGUUCUGCGAAGUUAGAUGGCGGCUCCCACCAAGAACUUCCCGGGCCGGAGGAGUCUUUUCUAGAGCUUUCUAAAUCAAAUGGGUGCAGAAUAGGACUUUGUGCAGCCCCGUCUAAUUGCAUCUUUACUCAAACGUAAAUCCUAAUGAGUUUAAUGGGGCUUGUUCCUAAGUAAGUAUCCACCGAACUGCAUCCUUAAUCUGCCUGAACUGUCAAGUUUAAGAGAGGGUUGAAACCAUCCCCUCCCGGGUACAAACCAUGAGCCAUUUACUGUAGAGUUCUCCCGGUGAUAGCUAAAGGUUAUGCCAAUAUAAGCGGUCACGC
rnacentral:lncRNA from 1 species